CCUACGGGUGGCAGCAGUGGGGAAUAUUGCACAAUGGAGGGAACUCUGAUGCAGCGACGCCGCGUGAGUGAAGAAGUAAUUCGUUGUGUAAAGCUCUAUCAGCAGGGAAGAAAGUGACGGUACCUGUAAUAGAAGCUCCGUCUAAAUACGUGCCAGCAGCCGCGGUAAUACGUAUGCAGCCAGCGUUAUCCGGAUUUACUGGGUGUAAAGGGAGAGUAGGUGGCAGAGCAAGUCCGAAGUGAAAAUCCAAAGCCCAACUAUGGGAAUGCUUUAGAUACUGGUCAGCUAGAGUGCAGGAGAGGUAAGUGGAAGUCUUAGUGUAGCGGUGAAAUGCGUAGAUAUUAGGAGGAACACCAGUGGCGAAGGCGGCUUGCUGGACUGUAACUGACACUGAGGCUCGAAAGCGUGGGGAGCAAACAGGAUUAGAUACCCGAGUAGUC
rnacentral:rRNA from 1 species